rnacentral:rRNA from 2 species
GUUCUGGUGGUUUACGCGAUCUGGUACCACCUGAUUCCAUUCCGAACUCAGAAGUUAAACGGAUUAGCGCAGACGAUAGUUGUGGGGCAACCUACCGCGAAAAUAUGUCACCGCCAGAACA